GGUUAAGUGACUAAGCGUACACGGUGGAUGCCUAGGCAGUCAGAGGCGAUGAAGGGCGUGCUAAUCUGCGAAAAGCGUCGGUAAGGUGAUAUGAACCGUUAUAACCGGCGAUACCCGAAUGGGGAAACCCAGUGUGUUUCGACACACUAUCAUGUCAUGAAUACAUAGUGGCAUGAGGCGAACCGGGGGAACUGAAACAUCUAAGUACCCCGAGGAAAAGAAAUCAACCGAGAUUCCCCCAGUAGCGGCGAGCGAACGGGGAGGAGCCCAGAACCUGAAUCGGCUUGUGUGUUAGUGGAAGCGUCUGGAAAGUCGCGCAGCAAAGGGUGAUAGCCCCGUACACUAAAAUGCACAGGUCGUGAGUUCGAUGAGUAGGGCGGGACACGUGACAUCCUGUCUGAAUAUGGGGGGACCAUCCUCCAAGGCUAAAUACUCCUGACUGACCGAUAGUGAACCAGUACCGUGAGGGAAAGGCGAAAAGAACCCCGGCGAGGGGAGUGAAAUAGAACCUGAAACCGUGUACGUACAAGCAGUGGGAGCACCUUCGUGGUGUGACUGCGUACCUUUUGUAUAAUGGGUCAGCGACUUAUAUUUUGUAGCAAGGUUAACCGUAUAGGGGAGCCGUAGGGAAACCGAGUCUUAACUGGGCGACUAGUUGCAAGGUAUAGACCCGAAACCCGGUGAUCUAGCCAUGGGCAGGUUGAAGGUUGGGUAACACUAACUGGAGGACCGAACCGACUAAUGUUGAAAAAUUAGCGGAUGACUUGUGGCUGGGGGUGAAAGGCCAAUCAAACCGGGAGAUAGCUGGUUCUCCCCGAAAGCUAUUUAGGUAGCGCCUCGUGAACUCAUCUUCGGGGGUAGAGCACUGUUUCGGCUAGGGGGCCAUCCCGGCUUACCAAACCGAUGCAAACUCCGAAUACCGAAGAAUGUUAUCACGGGAGACACACGGCGGGUGCUAACGUCCGUCGUGAAGAGGGAAACAACCCAGACCGCCAGCUAAGGUCCCAAAGUCAUGGUUAAGUGGGAAACGAUGUUGGGAAGGCAUAGACAGCCAGGAUGUUGGCUUAGAAGCAGCCAUCAUUUAAAGAAAGCGUAAUAGCUCACUGGUCGAGUCGGCCUGCGCGGAAGAUGUAACGGGGCUAAACCAUGCACCGAAGCUGCGGCAGCGACGCUUAGGCGUUGUUGGGUAGGGGAGCGUUCUGUAAGCCGUUGAAGGUGGCCUGUGAGGGUUGCUGGAGGUAUCAGAAGUGCGAAUGCUGACAUAAGUAACGAUAAAGCGGGUGAAAAGCCCGCUCGCCGGAAGACCAAGGGUUCCUGUCCAACGUUAAUCGGGGCAGGGUGAGUCGACCCCUAAGGCGAGGCUGAAAAGCGUAGUCGAUGGGAAACAGGUUAAUAUUCCUGUACUUGGUGUUACUGCGAAGGGGGGACGGAGAAGGCUAGGCUAGCCGGGCGACGGUUGUCCCGGUUUAAGCGUGUAGGGGGUGUGACCUGGUAAAUCCGGUUGCAUACUAACCCUGAGGCGUGAUGACGAUGCACUACGGUGCAGAAGUAGUUGAUGCCCUGCUUCCAGGAAAAUCCUCUAAGCUCCAGGUAACAUUAAAUCGUACCCCAAACCGACACAGGUGGUCAGGUAGAGAAUACCAAGGCGCUUGAGAGAACUCGGGUGAAGGAACUAGGCAAAAUGGUGCCGUAACUUCGGGAGAAGGCACGCUGGCAUGUAGGUGAAGUCCCUUGCGGAUGGAGCUGAAGCCAGUCGAAGAUACCAGCUGGCUGCAACUGUUUAAUAAAAACACAGCACUGUGCAAACACGAAAGUGGACGUAUACGGUGUGACGCCUGCCCGGUGCUGGAAGGUUAAUUGAUGGGGUCAGCCGCAAGGCGAAGCUCUUGAUCGAAGCCCCAGUAAACGGCGGCCGUAACUAUAACGGUCCUAAGGUAGCGAAAUUCCUUGUCGGGUAAGUUCCGACCUGCACGAAUGGCGUAAUGAUGGCCAGGCUGUCUCCACCCGAGACUCAGUGAAAUUGAACUCGCUGUGAAGAUGCAGUGUACCCGCGGCAAGACGGAAAGACCCCGUGAACCUUUACUAUAGCUUGACACUGAACAUUGAGCCUUGAUGUGUAGGAUAGGUGGGAGGCUUUGAAGCGUGGACGCCAGUCUGCGUGGAGCCAUCCUUGAAAUACCACCCUUUAAUGUUUGAUGUUCUAACUCGGCCCCGUAAUCCGGGGUGAGGACAGUGUCUGGUGGGUAGUUUGACUGGGGCGGUCUCCUCCCAAAGAGUAACGGAGGAGCACGAAGGUUAGCUAAUCACGGUCGGACAUCGUGAGGUUAGUGCAAAGGCAUAAGCUAGCUUGACUGCGAGAGUGACGGCUCGAGCAGGUACGAAAGUAGGUCUUAGUGAUCCGGUGGUUCUGAAUGGAAGGGCCAUCGCUCAACGGAUAAAAGGUACUCCGGGGAUAACAGGCUGAUACCGCCCAAGAGUUCAUAUCGACGGCGGUGUUUGGCACCUCGAUGUCGGCUCAUCACAUCCUGGGGCUGAAGUAGGUCCCAAGGGUAUGGCUGUUCGCCAUUUAAAGUGGUACGCGAGCUGGGUUUAGAACGUCGUGAGACAGUUCGGUCCCUAUCUGCCGUGGGCGUUGGAAGAUUGAGAGGGGUUGCUCCUAGUACGAGAGGACCGGAGUGAACGCACCACUGGUGUUCGGGUUGUCAUGCCAAUGGCAUUGCCCGGUAGCUAAGUGCGGAAAAGAUAAGCGCUGAAAGCAUCUAAGCGCGAAACUUGCCUCAAGAUGAGUCUUCCCUGGGCCUUCAAGGCCCCUGAAGGAACGUUUAAGACUAAGACGUUGAUAGGCUGGGUGUGUAAGUGCAGCGAUGCAUUGAGCUAACCAGUACUAAUGAUCCGUGAGGCUUAACCUU
rnacentral:rRNA from 1 species